UACGGAGGGGGUUAGCGUUGUUCGGAAUUACUGGGCGUAAAGCGCGCGCAGGCGGACUAUUAAGUCGAGGGUGAAAUCCCGGGGCUCAACCCCGGAACUGCCUUCGAUACUGGUAGUCUUGAGUUCGAGAGAGGUGAGUGGAAUUCCGAGUGUAGAGGUGAAAUUCGUAGAUAUUCGGAGGAACACCAGUGGCGAAGGCGGCUCACUGGCUCGAUACUGACGCUGAGGUGCGAAAAGCGUGGGGGAGCAAACAGGAUUAGAUACCCCUGUAGUCC
rnacentral:rRNA from 1 species